AACAGGUUAAUAUUCCUGUACUUGGUGUUACUGCGAAGGGGGGACGGAGAAGGCUAUGUUGGCCGGGCGACGGUUGUCCCGGUUUAAGCGUGUAGGCUGGUUUUCCAGGCAAAUCCGGAAAAUCAAGGCUGAGGCGUGAUGACGAGGCACUACGGUGCUGAAGCAACAAAUGCCCUGCUUCCAGGAAAAGCCUCUAAGCAUCAGGUAACAUCAAAUCGUACCCCAAACCGACACAGGUGGUCAGGUAGAGAAUACCAAGGCGCUUGAGAGAACUCGGGUGAAGGAACUAGGCAAAAUGGUGCCGUAACUUCGGGAGAAGGCACGCUGAU
rnacentral:rRNA from 1 species